AUUCAAUAAUAGUCAAACGAACGACUGGGUAACCACAUGGAGAAACCGACAAAAGAAGGCACCAGUGGUGUAAGUAGGAAAACGAGCUACCGGCAUGUGGCCUGACAACCAAACCAUCCCAGUUGAGAAAAGUGCUCCAAUUGAACGUUUAGCGUACAAAGAUGAAGACUACAAAACCCGAUUUUGUUUUACUGCUAUUGGAAAUGCAUUUUGUUGUUUAAAAUGCCUCGAAAACGACAAAAUACUGGUCAUCGGACAAAUAUUGCAAAGAGAAUUCCAGGUGAAACAAAAAAUGAAACAGAAGAAGAAAGAGCACAAUGAAAUGAACAAAAUAAUUAUCAUAUGUCAUACUCACCUGCUACUAAAUCAUCACAACAUCACGAAUCACGAAAUGAAGCAAGUAGAGGAAGAAUUAGAGAAUUAAGACAAUCUUUCCGUGACAACAGUCGAUUACGCAUGCAAAUGAAUCGAUUAAAUCAAUUGGUAAAACUGUAUGGUAUUGCAUUUCUGUAUAAUUCAGAUUUUGAAUAUAAUUUGCAUUUAGUUUUGGUUGUUGUAGGUAUGAAUAAAGUUUGCACAUGUUUAAAUGUUUAAACUGCACAUUGACUUAUGUUCAUUUAAUUUAUAUAUACCCCAUCAAGCAAUUGCAUUAUGAAUACUCAAAAUAAUGUUUAAAAUA